UGUAGUCCAGGGUAUACGCUGGUAUACGGCGUAUACCUACUUAUUUUUCAGUCAGCAUUGCGUAUACCCACUUCUAAAUCCCCCCUGAUGCGCAUCAUUCAGUAAUAUCUGUGAGUCAGAUUGCCUAUUUUCUUCCUCGGGGAUAGUGAAGCCAUGACCCACCCUCCUCUGCCUCUAAUUGGCUGGUACUCGCUGCUUUCACUGAUUAGAUUGGUUAACUUUAGGCAUGAGGACUGAUGAGCCAAUCAGAGGCAGAGUAGGGCGGGUCAUGCCGAGGAAAAUAUCGCUAAUACCUCAGGUGCCAGUGAAAAAAAAAAAAAAAAACUCAGGUGCCGGUGCCACUUGACUACGAUAACGGCAGCAGACCAAACAACGGAUGAAGAAAGGACACAAGCGGCGGUGUGCCACCCCAGUUGAUGGAAGACAUCAUUCUGAGACAUCAAUAAUGACUGGCCAGACCUGUGGAGUGCUAAACAAACAGAAGACUUCAAAUCCAAGAACCCCUGGUUGGGAUCCAAAAACAAAAAAUUGGGAUGUCUGGUCUGUAGCAGUGUGAACUCCAUUGGGAUCGACAAGGAGCAAGGACAAGGUGUAUCGCUCUCAAGAGAAUGGAUGAACUUUGAAAUU